CACUGUGCCUCAGGGCUUGGUAGCCCGAGGCAGCUGCUUCACCAUGUUUAAUGAUAGGGGCUGGCCAUUGGAGCAUAAAAAAUAUGUGCAGGGUGAAGCUCGACAACAUUAAGGUCACUUCCAAUUCAGUGAACUCAUAAACCAAUCCAUAUAGGUCUAGAACAGGAUGAGCAGCUAUCAACUGGUCCUUGGACUCAUAAUGCAACACAUCAGAAGAAAACAACAUUGGGAAAAUUUCCAUCAGAUCUGCAAAUGGAGAUCCAUGGGGAGAAAAGUAAGUUUGUGGCUACACAGGGAUUGUGAUACAGGAGGACCAGAUCCAAAUGCAUGGAUAUUCGCAGAAGGCAACAAGGGGAAAUAUCUAACACUUCCUAAACCUAAAUUUAUAUUUAUUUUUUAUCUAUACAAACAGAUGUAUUGGCUGAAAUCUAGCAGCAUAAUUUACAGUGCAUAAGGCUGAUGAUGUCAUCAACUGCAACAAUGUUCAGAAAUGAAAAAAUGUCUGAUUUGCCCUUGAAAGUCAUGAGACUCCCAUGAGAUCCCUUUCAAUCUAGCAGC
rnacentral:lncRNA from 1 species